GCCGUUGGCACACACACACCCAUAACGUAUACGGCACCUAUCGCGCACCCGAAUCGGGUAGAGAAGAAAAAAAGGAACAAGAACGAGACGCGGAGAUUGUGACCCUCUUCUCACAGAAUAAAAAAAGCGAGCCUCGGUUCCGUUAACUCGCUUACUUGAAUACUGCACGUGCACACGCCCAGGCGAUUCCUCACGCGGGGCAGCUCGAAUUUUGGAUCGCUCGCUUUUUUUUUGGGGGGGGCGGGUGACAGCGAGAAGGCGUGAGCGCGCAUCUGUGCAUGCGUGUUCCAAUAGACCAGAGUUGCAUAGAAUUGACGCGAUAGAGAGAGAACGGUGGUCCUGUGCUCUCAAGCCACAUAGAGGUACCCUCCCACCACCACUCUUCUACUUCCAUACAUAUCCACUUCCCCCCUCACACACACACGCACGCGCAGAUGCUGUCAAAGAUUCACCGCGUAGAGCUCGACAACUUCAAGAGCUACUACGGCAAAGCCGUCAUCGGGCCCUUCAAGGAUUUCACAUGCGUUGUUGGACCCAACGGCGCCGGGAAGUCCAACUUGAUGGACGCGCUGAGCUUCGUGCUGAGCAGCACCGUCACACAGACGAGUGCCUCAUCGAUGCGCGGUAAGUCCGCCGUCGACUUCAUUCAUCGCAAGGCAAAGACAGCGGGUAACGGGUGCCGCGUGACUUUGGUGAUGCGCCAUCCGGCCUCGAAGAGGGCAGUUGCUGCCGCUGCAGUACCGGCUGGCGACGAGUCGGGCAAAAGCGAUACCGCUGCGUCCGCUGCCCGUCGUGGCGCGGUCGUCGCCGACGACGGGGAGCACGUUCAUCACAGCAGCACCGUCGAGACCUCUUUUACUCGCCAAGUCGAUGUGCAGGGUACGGUCUCAUGCCUGCUCAACGGCAAGCCAGUGACAGAGAAGGAGUACGUGGCCGCGCUUACCGAGCACCGCAUUGGCGCCCGUGUUGACACGUUUCUCGUGUUUCAGCAUCAGGUGGAGGCGGUCGCGCAGAAGAAGGCGAAGCAGCUGACGGAACUACUCGAGCAGGUCAGCGGCAGUGGUGAGCUUCAUGGUGAGUACGCUACCAAGAAGGCCGCACUGGAGAGGGCCAACGAGGCGCUGACGAGUGCGUCUCUCGAAAAGCGCGGGGCUGCCGUGGCGGUGCAUCAAAUGCGACUAGCCAAGAAGGAGGCGGAGCGCUACGAGGAGCUGCAUCAGCAGCUGACGAGCGUCAGGCAAGAGCUAGCCCUCUCCGAGCUCUUCGCCGUCGAAACGGAACUUGAGAAGCGCAAGGAAGAGCUGCAGCAGCGCCGCGACGCGCUUGCGGAACUGGAAAAGAGCAUUGCAACAGAGCAGACAAUCCGGGAGAUGAAGCGGACGUACGCGACCCGGCACAAGACGUACUUGGAGGAGCUGAAAAAGGCGCGUAAGUCUGCCGAUGAUCUGCGGCUUAAGCACAGCACGGUGGAGCGCAUCAAAGCCGCCCUGGCGCACCUAACCCGCAAGGCAGAGCUGCAGCGACAGGAGCUGGAAGCGGCGCAGAAGGCGACAACUGUCCGCACUGUCGAGGCGGAGCGGCUUGAGGGGCAGUUGAAGAAGCAAAAAGCGCUGCUUGACACUUUUGAAAAGCGCUGCGUCGCUGACGACACGAAGCGAGUCACGCUGAACACCGUGCUCAAUCAGCAGCAGCUGGAUGAGUACCGGCAACUGCGGAAGGAGGCGGAGUGCGCGACCGUGAUGCUACGCCAGCGCCGGGAGACGGUGCUGCGGCAACGCGACUCCGCACAGGAGGCCCUGAAACAAUGCGACAGAGCCGCGGAGGCACACCAGCAGCAGAUGAAGGACGUCAGCCAGGCCAUUGAGACGGCCGCGAAGUACGGGGCUGAACUGCAGCAGCGCCGCAACGAGUUGGAGGAAACGGUGAGCACGCUCAAGGCCCAGCUCACGGAAGCCAGUAAGGACCUUGAAACAAUGCAGAAGAAAAACAAAGCACGGGAGGUGGAGUUGGCACGACUGCAGGAACAGUUGCACGAGCUGCGCUACAUGAAAGACACAAGCAAGCAGAACGCGCGCAUGGCGGACGCUCUCCAGGCCUUGCGCUCUCUCUUCCCAAUCCGCGGACGCAUGGUGGAUCUGUGCACGGUGCCCAACGAGCGGCACCGCAACGCGGUCACGGUGGCCAUGGGCAAAAACCUCGAGGGGAUCGUUGUGGAGACGACCGCGGUGGCAAUUCGCUGCGUCAAGUAUCUGAAGGAGCAGCGCAUGCCGCCCAUGACGUUUCUGCCGUUGGACGCAGUGCAAGGCAAGGCUGUUGACGACCGUCUGCGCACAUUUAGUGGCACAUGCAAGCCCAUUGUCGAUGUGGUUCGCUUUGAGCCUGAGCUGGAGCCGGCGGUGCGGUAUACACUGGGUCAGACGCUGCUGUGCGACACGGUUGCCGAGGCCAAGUCGGUUGCCUACGGCCGCGACGGGGAGCGCUUCAAGGUGGUGACGCUGGACGGCACAGUCCUCCUGAAGAACGGGUCUGUGCAAGGUGGUUUGGCCUCCGUACAGAGCCGCGCCCGCAAGUGGGACGAGAAGAAGUACGAGGACCUUCGCGUUGCCCGCGACCGCCUGUUGAGCGAGGCCGCCGCAGGUGGUGAGGCAGAGCUGGCUCGCAUCCAGAUCUCGAUUCGGGACAUGGAGGCGCGGCGCGAGUUUGCUGAGAAGCGCGUCGCUGUAGUGCACACGGAGCAAUGCGCUAACGACACCAAGACGCAGCGGCUGACGGAGGAGCUGGCGAAGCUGGAAAGCCGCGGAGCCGAUUUCGCGACGCGGCACAAGGGAUACGCGGCGGAGCUGCAGGUGAUGCACAAGGAGCUGCUGGAGCUCUCCAAGUCGAUCUCGCGCGUCGAGGGACAGGUUUUUGCUGACUUCCAGAAGAAGGUGGGCAUCCCCAACCUGCUAAACCUGGAAGGACAGCAAACGCAAGAGGCAAAGCAGCGCGCCGAGACCCGGCAGCAGCUGCUACUCGUGAUCCACAAGCUGGAGAGCUCGCUCGAGAUGGAGGUGAAGCAGGUCGGCGACGCGAAGAUCGCCGAUUUGGAGGAGGCAUGUGCGCGGCUGCACAAGGAAAAGGAGCAGUGCAAAAAGGACCUCACCGAUUACAAAGCGCUCGUGGAGAAGGCGGAGCGGCAGCACCAGGAGACGAGGAAGACGGCUGCGCAGAGCCGCACCGAGCUCGACUCGCUGGAGCAGCAGAUUCGAAACGCGACUCGAAACUCCGAGACUGAUCUGGCUCGUGUCGCCCAGGCGCGGAAGCUCGUCACAGGCAUUCAGCUUGCCUGCGACUCUCUGCGGUUGCGUCGGCUGAACCUGGUGCGCCGCUGCCAGAUGGACGAAAUCGGUAUUCCACUGAAGCCGGCGGCCAGCAGCGGAGCGAAACGCGCGCGCGGCGAGGAUACGGGCGCGGCCACCCGUGCCUCCUCCGGGCUGCCUACGCCGUCGUCGCGCCAAAGGUCCAGCGCCACGGGGAGCCGCACGCAAAUUCUUCUCUCCGAGCCGUUCACACUGCUUGUCGAAGGCGGAGCGAGCCAGAGCGGCGUUCGCGGAGCAACGAGCGCCGCAUCUUCUUUUGCCUCCUCGCCGGCCCUCGACUCAGAAACGACCAUGUGCAUCGACUUCUCCUCGCUCACGGAGGCACAGCGGGUGGCGGCAGCGGACCGGGCUCAGUUUUCUGCGUACAGCCACCAUGCCCAGGCGCAGCUGGAGGCGCUCGCCGCCGAGAUGGAGUCUCUGGCGCCAAAUAUGAAGGCCGCCUCGCGCGUCAUGGCAUCGGAAGAUCGUCUUGGGGCGUCGUCGACGCUGCUCGACGAGGCCCGCGAUAUGGCCCGUGUGGCCAACAAGGAAUUCACCCGCGUCAAAGAGCAGCGCACGGCGCGCUUCAUGGAGAUGUUCGAGAAGGUGGCGGCCACAGUGGACCGGGUGUACCGCGAGCUCACCAUGGGCACCCGCGCUCAUGCAGUGCACGGCUCGGCGUACCUUAGCCUGGAGAAUGUGGAGGAGCCGUACCUCGGCGGCACCACCUACCACGCCACACCGCCUCUCAAGCGCUUCAUGCCGAUGGAGCUGCUCUCCGGCGGCGAGCGCACCAUGGCGGCGCUGGCGCUUCUCUUUGCGAUCCACGAAGUCUCCCCGACGCCCUUCUUCGUGCUGGAUGAGGUGGACGCGGCGCUAGACGCCGGCAAUGUAGAGAAACUUGCGAGCUACCUUCGCAAAAACUGCCAGUCGUGCCAGUUCGUCGUGGUUUCGCUGAAGGAACAGCUUUACCACAUGGCAGAUAUGCUGCUGGGCGUUAUGAAGGACAAGGAUCGGGAGAGCUCCAAGGUGAUCACCAUGGACCUGCGUGGCUACGCGUACUAGCGUGCACAAAAACAACCACACGCAGAAAAGGAAAAAAAAGCGAGCUCUGCGGGGAAAAGACGGACGAAAAGACAGUCGCCUCUGGCAAGCAGCGAUGCUACAAUGGCUGGGUGUGAAUAAAGAACAAGGGCAAACAAUGACUCACCUCUACGCAUCAUACCUUCGUACCUUCGACCACUUCGGGCCACUUCGAUUCGGCUUCCUUUCGUCCCUUCUCGUGCGCUCGUGCUCGUACGUCUCCUAUUCGUGCGAAGCGCACCCAUAUUGGCGCACCACGACGAAGCAGGUCGACGGGGCGGCGAUGGCAGGAAGCAGUCGCUGGAAAGCCCCUAUCCUGUCCUCCUCCCCGCAUGUCGAGCAUUUGUUACGCUGCUUUUGUGGCCGUCGCCACUCCAGCGUACGGUUUGUACAAGGGUACGCGAACGCUCGUGUUUUUCUUCGCAGUCUCCUACUCUUCUGUUCUCCGUCUAUCUUUAUGUUUCUUGUUUUGCGCCCACUCAAGUGUCGCAGGAGGCGGAGGCGGAGGUGGAUGGGGAGUGCACCUGUUGUUGUUCUUCCCCCACCCCACCCCCGUAUGUGAGCCGAAACGUAGGAGGUGCUCUCGCUCGCUCGCUCGUGUUUCCUCUGCCGCUGCUCGGCACACUCCUCCUUUUCAACAACGAUAGAAUUGCUGUGAUACAGAGCUACAGAGGGAGUCCACCCGGCCCCGCCCCGCCCCCCCCCUCGUCGUUGUUGUCUGUUUCUGUCUCCCCCCCCAACCCACUCACCGGUAUAUGUGUUUGCACCUCCGCAAGGCCAAGAAAGGGGCAGAGUCCAUUCUUUUCCCCUCCCCCCCAUAGACGGUCUUUUCCACCUUUUUUGUAAUCUCACUUUCUAUGUUUGUUUUUACCCCCCUCCCUCCUCUCUCUUGGGGAGUAGGGCCUCGCGCCUCUGAUGUUUCCUGCACUUUUUUUUGUUCGUGCGUGUGUGUGUGCGUGGAGGGGGAGCGUACCUUUGUGAUUCCAGCUGUCACGGAUGAUGGUAUUCCCGGCAGGUGUGCGCGUGUGAGUGGUACGCAUAUCAUGAGCAGAAGGCACCAGCAGUCAGAAGUGCUCGCAUGCACAACACGCGCGCAUGCGUUGUUUGCGUGAGAGGCGGCGCGACGUAGUUCAUGUGCUCUCGAACCCUGCUCGCGUGAUCAGCCCGCGUCUAAUGUAACGGCAAGUCACCCACGCGCAGCCUUGACCGCCGCAAUCUGAAGUGGAGCGACGACAAAUAGGGGGUGCCGGCGCAACCACUGUGUCUAAUGCUGCACGCACCAUCAGGUCCAUGACCUCGUACUUCUCCCCUCCCCCUCCUCUGCUCUUUUUCUUCGAUGGCGCGCAUUACGGCUCACUUAAG
rnacentral:misc_RNA from 1 species